rnacentral:rRNA from 1 species
ACGAAGGGUGCUAGCGUUGUUCGGAAUCACUGGGCGUGAAGCGCGCGUAGGCGGCUUCUCAAGUCAGGGGUGAAAUCCUUGGGCUCAACCCAAGAAUUGCCUUUGAAACUGUGAAGCUGGAGUACUGGAGGGGAUAGCGGAAUUCCUAAUGUAGAGGUGAAAUUCGUAGAUAUUAGGAGGAACACCGGUGGCGAAGGCGGCUAUCUGGACAGUAACUGACGCUGAGGCGCGAAAGCGCGGGGAUCAAACAGGA